UACGGGAGGCAGCAGUGGGGAAUAUUGCACAAUGGGCGCAAGCCUGAUGCAGCCAUGCCGCGUGUAUGAAAAAGGCCUUCGGGUUGUAAAGUACUUUCAGUCGUGAGGAAGGUGUUAAGGUUAAUAACCUUAGCAAUUGACGUUAGCGACAGAAGAAGCACCGGCUAACUCCGUGCCAGCAGCCGCGGUAAUACGGAGGGUGCGAGCGUUAAUCGAAAUUACUGGGCGUAAAGGGCACGCAGGCGGUUAAUUAAGUUGGAUGUGAAAUCCCCGGGCUUAAACCUGGGAAUGGCAUUCAAGACUGGUUAGCUAGAGUCUUGUAGAGGGGGUAGAAUUCCAUGUGUAGCGGUGAAAUGCGUAGAGAUGUGGAGGAAUACCGGUGGCGAAAGGCGGCCCCUGGACAAAGACUGACGCUCAUGUGCGAAAAGCGUGGGGAGCAAAACAGGGAUUAGAUACC
rnacentral:rRNA from 1 species